GUCUACGGCCAUACCACCCUGAACGCACCCAAUCUCGUCUGAUCUCGGAAGCUAAGCAGGGUCGGGCCUGGUUAGUACUUGGAUGGGAGAAGUUUGGCCCCAAACU
rnacentral:rRNA from 1 species